rnacentral:rRNA from 1 species
CCGUGAUAAAGUAGCAUAAUCACUCGUCAUUUAAUUGGUGACUGGAAUGAAUGGUUACACGAAUCUUUAACUGUCUCAAGAAGAAAGUUCAAUUAAUUUGAAAAAACAGUGAAGAUGCUGUUAACAAAAUUGUAAGACGAAAAGACCCUUUCGAGCUUUACUAUAAGCUUAUAGAAAAAAUCUUUAAUAAAAAUAUAAUAAAAACAAACUGUAAGCUAGUUAGUUUGGUUGGGGCGACCACCUCUAAAACAGUAUCAGAGGAAAUCUAAAGGUGUAAUAGUAAUAUUAAUUGCCUUACUGUAUACAAACAAGUUAAUCAGUUACUAUUAUGUAGGAUAUAAUGACCCGUUGAAUUAAUUUCAAAAUUCAACGACCAUGAAAAAAGUUACCGUAGGGAUAACAGGGUAAUAUUAUCAAAGAGUUCAUAUCGAUGAUGAU